UCCUCCCUCUCCUCUGCCUCCUUUGUUUUGCCUUUUCUCUCCUAAGGACUUAUGCUUCCCAUCACCAUUCAAUCUUCAUCAUUAGUAUUUGCAAAGAUAGGCUAUUUUAGUAGCUUGUGAUGCCUUUGGGUUUUAUACAUUGAUUCAAAAGGAUCGCCAAACACGAUGUGGAUUACUCUGACUUUAACGAGUAGGGCAAGAUAGGAUCCAAGAGCAAGAUCUAUUAUAUUAGAAGAUCCAGUUGUG
rnacentral:lncRNA from 1 species